UCAACCAUCAAGCUAAGCUUGUCGUUGGACCCUUUGUCGCCUGGCGACAGGUCCGAAAGAUAAUGAACGGUGUCAUGGCGACCCUAUAUGCAACGAGCUUGUAAAUAAGCACGCAUUUGGUGGUCGUCUGGCCCGAUCGUCACCUCUUAUUUUUUCUCCAGG
rnacentral:misc_RNA from 1 species